rnacentral:lncRNA from 1 species
GGGCAUGGGGCUUAUCUUCCACACCUGUGGUGAAAAACUUGGAGGAUAAUAGAUGUGCUUUUUUCUUGUAUUCGUAAGAUGAUGCUAAGAAGGCCAUUGCAUUUCUCAUUAGAGGGGCAAAGGUAAGCUCUUGACCAUUGAUUUAUGGAAUCCUUGUCCUCAUUCUUAUUUUAUUCCUAAGUUUGUAUAUUGGGUUAGGCUUUACGGUGUACCUUUACAUGAAUGGAAUUCGAGUAUUUUUCAAAGCUUGGGAAAUAAGUGUGGAGAGAUUUUAGAAGCUAAUGGAGGUUGAUUGGAAGUGAUGAUGCUUCGUGUGUCCGGCUGAAAGUUAAAAGAAAUGUUUUUUCCACCUAUUCUCAAAUUAAUUAAAUUUUCUGUCAAUUGGGAAGAUUUCUUGAUAUCCUUCGGAAGGAUUGUUGAUAGGACUUUUUAAGGCAGGUGGGGAGAGAUUAGGAGAUUGUGGUAGCGGGCCAAGUCCCGUCAAAUUUGUACUUUUCAAUGGGGGCUAAAUCGUGAGAUGAUAGGCAGCAAGCUCCCUUAGAAUGCAAAGAGGUGGGUUGGAUGAAGGAUGAUGGCCGUAAGCUAGUACGAGAAAAACCCAGUAGCCUCAAGUGUUGCUCCUGAUGGUCCUAUUGACCAUGAAUAAGGAAGUCGUCAAAUCUUUAUUGAAGUCUUGGUUGGGUAGCAUGGUUGAGAGGAUCCUUCCUUUUCAUAAAGGGGCGCAUAAAAGAAAGCCAAGGGGUCCUAGAGUCCCACCGGAGCAGUAAGGUCUUCCGAUCGCAGUGUCGGAACCUAAGGACAACGUAGAUGCUUUGCCAAUCCAAAAUUUUUAGGAUGUAAAUAAUUUACAGUGACCUUUGGGAAUGAUCUGGAAGUUUUCUUAGAUGAAUAAGUGAAUUUUAUUAAUCCUAUUAACAUAGUUGUUGCAGACCAAGGUGAGGGAGAGAUGGUUUUACAAGAAGAUCAAUAUAAGAGCCAUACCAAAGGAAGAGUAGGAUUUUGAAGCAAUGUCCGAUGAUAUAGGAUUGUUGUUCGAAGUUCUGAUUGGCAAGUUUAUUAAAUAAUUAAGGGACACAUAAAACUACUAAGAACAAUGUUUGGAUGCACAAUGGGCAAACUAAUUCUAAUGAAGAAUCUGAGCAAGUUGAGGUGAAUGUGAGCAUGCAAAGGAUAAGGACAAAGGUAAGGGCAAAGGCCAAACUAGUGGCUAAGCAUACCAGAUCCUCAUCAAGUCUUGUUGCUCAAAGGGCCACUAACAACACUGGAGGUAUUGCUUUCUAGGUUCUCUUUAAGGGUGGAAAUUGUUGUUGAUGAUAAUAGUUCUGUAUCCGGUGAGCUGCCCAUCGCCAAAUAUGGAUCCACUUCUGGCACCAAUGAAGAUAACUAGUUCGAAUGUGAGAGGUCUAAAGGAGAUGACGAGAAAAAGAGAAGUAUUGUUGCUAGUCAGGAAUUAGUGACCUGAAAUUUUGUUGUUGCAUGAGACGAAACUCCCCAGAUUAUCAGUUAGAGAGGUUUGGGGUGGAGGGUCAGUGGGUUUUGCUGGGAUUGAUGUUGUAGGGGGAUUUAGACAUUGCGGGAUGCAUCUUUCCUUAAGUGCUUGGAUGUUUUGGUACUCAAAAAAUUUUGUGUCAUUAUUUUUUAGAGUCCAAU